GACGUAGGUGGCGAACGUUAUCCGGAAUUAUUGGGCGUAAAGGGUGCGUAGAUGGUGUAGUAAGUUAUCGGUGGCAAAUCGAGGCUCAACCUCGUGGAAGUCGGUAAUACUGCUAUGCUAGAGGAUAGGAGAGGUUAACGGAACUCCCUGUGGAGCGGUGAAAUGCGUAGAUAUAGGGAAGAACACCAAUAAGGCGAAGGCAGUUAACUAGUCUACUCCUGACAUUGAGGCAUGAAAGCGUGGGGAGCAAAACGG
rnacentral:rRNA from 1 species